rnacentral:rRNA from 1 species
AAUCAACGCUGGCGGCGUGCCUCAGACAUGCAAGUCGAACGAUUAAGACUCUCUUCGGAGAGUGUAUAAAGUGGCGCACGGGUGAGUAACACGUAGGUAAUGUACCGAAGGGUGGGGAAUAACUUAGGGAAACUUAAGCUAAUACCGCAUAAUGCAGCGGCUCGACAUCGAGACAGUUGUUAAAGGAGCAAUCCGCCUUUUGAGCAGCCUGCGGCAGAUUAGCUAGUUGGUAAGGUAAUGGCUUACCAAGGCUACGAUCUGUAACCGACCUGAGAGGGUGGUCGGUCACACUGACACUGAAUAACGGGUCAGACUCCUACGGGAGGCAGCAGUCGGGAAUUUUGGGCAAUGGGCGAAAGCCUGACCCAGCAACGCCGCGUGAAGGAUGAAGUAUUUCGGUAUGUAAGCUUCGUAAGAAUAGGAAGAAUAAAUGACGGUACUAUUUGUAAGGUCCGGCUAACUACGUGCCAGCAGCCGCGGUAAU